UUUUGUGUUUCAACACCUUUUUUUUUUUUUUUUUUUUUUUCAAAAAAAAGAAAAGAAAAAGAAGAAGAAAUGAAUGUACACAUUACAUUGUUCUGGCACUGGUAUGGACCAUUUUUAAAAACAUUUGUUGUCAGUAUUUAUAAUGGUUUGUACAAAAUUGUAAACUAUUUUCAAGUUUGCUUGUUUUGUUCAUGAUCACCUUUCAAAAACUGUCGCUGCAGGAACAAAAAUAUGCCAAACAGAACCCCAAAAUCAAACCAAGGCAACUCUCCCUGCCCCUUCUCACCCUUCCCCUGCCCGUGCUUAAAGAAGGUGAAGGAGACAGUUUUUGAAAGCACCCGGCAGUAAUGGGUGAGCACAUCCUGCUUUAUGGUGGGGUCCAGCUGACACAGGACGGCUCUGAGGGCACAAAGUGCUACCCACCAACCACACCUUCCCACCUCUAGAGUAGACAAAGAUGGCUCUUUAGGUCAUUUUAUUUUAUUUCUUUGUCGUUUCCCCCCCCUUUUUUUUUCUUUUACCCCCCCCUUUUUUUUUUACAAAAAUUUCUACAUCUAAAUCACUUUCUAGAAACAUUAUUUUUCUUUCUUUUUUCUUUUUUUUUUUCUUUUUUACAUCAGUUAAAGCAGAAUCUGCUUUUGUGAAAAAAGACAAGAAUCAAGGUCUUAUUUCAUGCAGAAAAUGCAAAUUAAAGAUUGUAAAAAUGGGUGUUUUUUUCUGGGGUUUUUUGUUGAUUUUUGUUUCUUUUUUUUGUAACGCUGUACAGAAUGCAAUGCAGCCACUCAGAGUACGUUAAGAUGGUUCACAGCAGUCCCUUUGAUAGUAUACAUUGACAUUGAUCUCCCUGUCCUGUUGCCACUGUUUUUCAGUUAGUUGGUUGUCUGAAUUUCAGGCCACGUAAGAUGUCCCCAGUUAGGAAAGACGUUGCCACUUCUUCAUCUUUGAGAGGAAGAUGGAUGGGUGCAGUUUGAGAUGACGAUACAUUGGCAUAAAUGGUCUAGAUUUUCCUGGGAAGGAUGUCCCAACCUUCAAGAUCUCAUUUUGUUCACUUUCAUACCUCUUGGCAUAAUGUCCCUGUAGUGAGCACAAUGUAAGAGGGCAUUUGUCCCUCAGAAACUGGUUUCCCUUCUGAAAAGGGAUGUGAUUUCACACUAAGAAACAAUAUUAUGACAUGCCAGGCAAUGGAAAGAAGAAACAUCAUAGACUGGACAAUGGUUCUGCCACCAGGGUUGAGUGUAUUCCCAAUGGAUGGGAUAUUUCUGGGUAACUCUUGAGGCUUUCUUUUAUUCAGUUUUCCAUGUUCUUCUCCAGCAUCCAGCUAUUCAUCUUUCCAGAUGUUAGAAACUCUUCUAUGUGACAACUGCUGAGCCUUUCUAGGGGGCUGCUCACUAAGGAUCUUUCUUUUUGGCCUGCCAAGCACAUUGGCUCCGACUCAGUAAAGUUGUUGGAUUCAGGCACGAUUUUAAGCAGAUGUGCAGUGAUCAGGUCUCCUCCUGUGCUGACUUGCGCAAGGGAUGGGGCUUUGCUGGACUGGUGCACUGUGUGGGUUUAAUCUCACUAUGCUUCUCUGCUUUGCCCAUCUCCUUCUUGCUUCGGUGUGGUUGAAAUGGGAGAUGGGAAGGUUGUGGCAACCUUACCUCCCUUUCUAACCCCUUCCUUCACCAUCAUCUAGCCUUGACAGAGGACGAAACUCAGGGAUUUCUGCUCAUAAGAUGUCAGUCUCCGCCUGUGAGAGGCUCUGGGACACAUCUCCCAUGUCGGCCCCCAAAUUCAUGGGGCUGUUGAGAUCUCUAACAACAACCUAGAAGCUGCACUAGCAAAAGAUAUAUUCCUGUUCAAAACACCCCUGAUGGGCCCCAAAUGUCCCUGAGGCAGGUACCACAGGGGUCUCCAGAACUUCAGGUCCUGUGGGCCACUGCCUCUGGAGAAACAAGGAUAAGCAUUGGCAGCUAUGCCAGUGACAGCUUUCUUGUGAGGUGUACCUCCUCUUUGGCUUCCCACCUGACAUGUCAUGAUAUUGUGCAACGGGCACUGCUGCAGUGUGGAGUUACCUGCUCACCUCCUGCGCUCACCACCAAGACCCUCUGGUCUCACUGGAAAUGGCCAUUGCCUCAGCAAGGCUUGGUUCUGCAGCAGCACAGGCUCCAUGGCCCUGGGCGCAGCCAGGGAAUGAUGAUGAGACGGAAGAGACUAACCAAAUGCACCAUCCCCUAUAGGUAAAAAUAAAGAGGACCUGCUCAAAGACUGAGUGGGGUUGAGCGAGUCCAUCCCAGUGUGGGGCAAAGCAUCUGUCAGUGAAGAGGCAGUGCAGGUUCCUUUUUCUGCAGAGAAGGGUUAAGAUCAGCCACAGAGAGAAAUGCCUCCGCUAAUCUGAGACAGGGCGUUCCUAAUGCUGAAAAACUGGUCAUUGCCCCUUCUCUGAGUCCCCAAGAGGCUUCAGCAUCACAACAAAGGCAAUCAUGUUUUUCUUCUUUGCUGGCCUGGCUUCUCCCAGCCUGUUGCUUCCCAAGCCCUCCUCACCAGGCUCAGCAGUGCCAGGGCUAUCUGUGCAGCUGGGUAGUGUGAGCCACAAGUCAGCAUACCCAGUGAAGCGUACUGUAGCCAAAGACAUGUCCAGAGGGGUGGGAAAGUCAGGGAAAAUAUCUUUGACCCUCCUGCCUGGACAGUCUGUCCACUGGAUCCCCAAAUAAGACCUGGACCCAACAUGUGAGUAUGGCAAUUAACCCUGGAGCUGCCCACGUCAUUCAGCUGGCAUAGCACUGAGAGCUGGGAGGCAUUAACCUUUACAGAAGGCAGACCAAUACUGUUCUACUGUUUAAAACAGGUACUGGAGGAGAAAUUAUCACCCUCUCCAAAAAACCAAUGUUACUUACCACUGUGCUAUCUCAUAAUUUCUGGGGGAAAAGUCUGCCAGUGUAAUUGCUGAUCUCAGCCUGUGCAAAUGGUAAAACGUGCAUACCUGUAUCAUAAAUGGGCCAUCUCCCCACUUUGUCACACACAUAUUCAAUAUUACUCUGUAAGUGCUUUCUGGCUGUGGCACUGGCAAGUACUGGCUACCUUAGAUGGGAGCAGGCAGCCCACAGCACAGAGCUGAGAACAGGAGGCUUGAGGUGGUUUGGGUCCAUUGUCUCUAGGAGAGAGAUGAUGGCAGCAUAAUCUUCUUGGAGCAAGGGAUCGCAUUCUGUUUUUCUAGUCUAGAGCACAAUAGGGCGCAGGAGCUCAUGUUCACACAACUCCUUGUUUUGGCUCUGCAAAAUGCCUGUCCUUGGUUACCCACCAGUCCUGCUUGGCCCACUCAUCAGCAGAAAUGGCUGAGUCAGAGCUGUGUGGCUGCACUGUGCUGAUGCACUCUAGCUGGAGGAGCAUCUGCAGUGGAGAAAAAAGCCUUACUGCUGAACAACAGCCUUUCCUAAGGAACUGACACUUCCCUCUGGUUUGCCUUCCACCUAAAUUUUUUUUUCUUUUAGCUUCACUGCAGUAACACAAACAAUACAACACUCAUUGGCCCAGCUGUAGAAAGAAGCCAUUUCUGCCCCAUGGAGGCAAGACUGUCCUCUGCUUU
rnacentral:lncRNA from 1 species